AGCGCACCUUGCGCCCCAUGGUAUUCCAUGGAGCAUGCCUGUUUGAGUGUCACGUGAAACUAUCACUCUUGUCCUGUCGCAAGACAUGUCAGGAUGUGGACUUGGACUGUGCCGUAGUUGGCUCGUCUUGAAAUGCAUUAGCCGUGCUGGUUAGAUUCGGCCACCUGGUGUGAUAUACGUCUACGCCUACCGUGCGGUCUCUUCCUGAGCGUGACUCAUAAUCGUCGCUCGUUCGACAACACAAAUUAACGCUCUGGCCUCAAAUCAGGUAGGACUACCCGCUGAACUUAA
rnacentral:misc_RNA from 1 species